ensembl:miRNA
UUAACAAAGCCCAUCCGGGGAUGGCUCUUUAAGAGGCUGUUAAAUGGUGAUACUAUAUUUUUUAACAUCAGCAUCAUUUAGAAACCUUUUAGGGAGCACUCCUCUUUGCCCAC